AGUGAACGCUGGCGGCGUGCCUAAUACAUGCAAGUCGAACGGAGAUUAAGUAGCUUGCUAUUUAAUCUUAGUGGCGCACGGGUGAGUAAUAUAUAGCUAACUUGCCCAUUACUAAGGGACAACAGUUGGAAACGACUGCUAAUACCUUAUACUCCGUAUCUAUAUAAGUAGAUACGGGAAAGUUUUUCGGUAAUGGAUAGGGCUAUAUCGUAUCAGCUAGUUGGUAGGGUAAUGGCUUACCAAGGCUAUGACGCGUAACUGGUCUGAGAGGAUGAUCAGUCACACUGGAACUGAGACACGGUCCAGACUCCUACGGGAGGCAGCAGUAGGGAAUAUUGCUCAAUGGGGGAAACCCUGAAGCAGCAACGCAGCGUGGAGGAUGACACUUUUCGGAGCGUAAACUCCUUUUCUUGGGAAAGAAUUAUGACGGUACCCAAGGAAUAAGCACCGGCUAACUCCGUG
rnacentral:rRNA from 1 species